UACGUAGGGACCAAGCGUUGUUCGGAUUUACUGGGCGUAAAGGGCGCGUAGGCGGCAAUUCAAGUCAGCUGUGAAAUCUCCGAGCUUAACUCGGAACGGUCAGCUGAUACUGUUUUGCUAGAGUACAGAAGGGGCAAUCGGAAUUCUUGGUGUAGCGGUGAAAUGCGUAGAUAUCAAGAGGAACACCUGAGGUGAAGACGGGUUGCUGGGCUGAUACUGACGCUGAGGCGCGAAAAGCUAGGGUAGCAAACGGGG
rnacentral:rRNA from 1 species